rnacentral:rRNA from 1 species
UACGAAGGGUGCAGGCGUUACUCGGAAUUACUGGGCGUAAAGCGUGCGUAGGUGGUUCGUUACGUCUGAUGUGAAAGCCCUGGGCUCAACCUGGGAAUGGCAUUGGAAACUGGCGACCUAGAGUGCGGUAGAGGGUAGUGGAAUUCCCGGUGUAGCAGUGAAAUGCGUAGAGAUCGGGAGGAACAUCCGUGGCGAAGGCGACUACCUGGACCAGCACUGACACUGAGGCACGAAAGCGUGGGGAGCAAACAGG